rnacentral:lncRNA from 1 species
AUCAGACUCCAAGGAGAGGCCAACAGAUGAGGGAGCCAUUUUUCUGCAAUGGAAUUAAAUGGCCAAGUGGGUUUUUCCUUUGUUGCAAAUGGGGAAUGCUUUUCCUUUGACUCCACCAUCCAGUUCAGGACGCCUGAAUGUGUUUAACAUUUGCCAAAGGACUCACACUUGGAAGAAUGAAGACCUUUUAAAAAGAUCUGGAUUUUUCCUUAUGACUUGGAAUCCAUCUUUGUCUUGUAUAACUAGGUCAUAGCACACUAUUAAUGUCAGCAGUUAACAGUUUUGAAUUCAAAAAAACCUAAAGCACUAAACAGCCCUCAGCGAAGCCGCCUUUUUGCCAGCCCAACCCUGGAAAGUUUGCAGUCGUGGAAGGAGCAGAAAUACCACGAGUGUAACUUACAAAGAAGGUCUUGGCCGGAGACCGGAGCCAUGUCUGUGUUAUCCCCACUGUAGACAAUCCUUGCUUCCUCUGGACAUCUGGAGCAGGCCCAAUUUGACUGAGAGCCUUCCCCCACUAAGUUACAGAUCCAGCCCCACCAUCACCACCAGAGUUGAGUCCAAAUCCAACACUCUAGGCCGGGUAGUGCUGGGACUUUGCCAGCCUCCUGCUGAGAAGUGAAUUCUCCCCUUGGCAAACUGCAGCCAGCCAGCCUCCUGGGUCGAGAGCCAAGCCAAAAGAUGUCUGAGAGAAGAAACCUGGGGUCCUGCAAAGGUAAGUGGGUCCCAGCCCACUCUCAAUCCCCCUCUCUCUGUGUGAUUGCUAUUCCACACUGGAGUCACCUGCUCUGUGCUUCUGAGGAACCUCACCUCUGGCACAUCAAUGGAAAUUGUCCUUCCCUUUUUAUUUAUUUUUAUUUAUUUUUUAUUUUUUGCCACCCUCACUGGCCACUAAGAGAUAGCCCUAGCUCCUCCUCUCCUGCCUGGUUUUGACAGGACUCACUCCAUUGAGUCCUGUCUCGUCUCUUUGCAGCCCUCCUCCUCCCCCCCCCCCCCCUUCAGCCAGCACUUAGGCCCUCCCUGAUUUAGCCCGUUACCUUGACAACCACUUGGGCCUGUCUCCCUCAUCACCACUGAAAACCUGAAGGUGGUUUUCCAGCUGCGGUACAUUUGCCCAAGUUGGGCACCCCUCCAGCUUCUAUUGGCUCGCCCUCUAUACAGCUGUACCCAAUAUAACAAACACAACCUUCCUGGCCCCUCAGCUGUAGUCUCGAAAUUGAUCUCACUGGUCCCGGGAACUCCGUCAAUACUGCCUCCUCUAGACUGAGCUCCUCACAGGCAGGAACAUGGUUGUUUCUCAAUAAACAAGUUGCAAAAAAA